GGCUUCGGAGUGGCGAGAUGACACUUCGGUACUUCGGUACCGAGGCUCGUAAAAUGAGGCGUAACAGAACCUUCUGAAAGGAAGUAACCACCUGCAGCAGAUGAGUUCACUCUGUGUGUGCGUUUUUUGUAAUCUUGCACAGGGAAAGAGGAAGAGACUGAAGAAUUGGAAUGGGAAUUUGCCUCCGUGAUUUAUAUAUUUUCCCCAUUAUUCU
rnacentral:lncRNA from 1 species